AUACGUAGGGUGCAAGCGUUAAUCGGAAUUACUGGGCGUAAAGCGUGCGCAGGCGGUUUUGUAAGACAGAGGUGAAAUCCCCGGGCUCCACCUGGGAACUGCCAUUGUGACUGCAAGGCCGGAGUGCGGCAGAGGGGGAUGGAGUUCCGCGGGUAGCAGGGAAAUGCGUAGAUAUGCGGAGGAACACCGAUGGCGAAGGCAAUCCCCUGGGCCUGCACUGACGCUCAUGCACGAAAGCGUGGGGAGCAAACAGGAUUAGAUACCCUGGUAGUCCACGCCCUAAACGAUGUCAACUGGUUGUUGGGGAUUUAUUUUCUCAGUAACGAAGCUAACGCGUGAAGUUGACCGCCUGGGGAGUACGGCCGCAAGGUUAAAACUCAAAGGAAUUGACGGGG
rnacentral:rRNA from 1 species